UACGAAGGGGGCUAGCGUUGCUCGGAAUUACUGGGCGUAAAGCGCACGUAGGCGGAUUGUUAAGUCGGGGGUGAAAUCCUGGAGCUCAACUCCAGAACUGCCUUCGAUACUGGCGAUCUCGAGUUCGGGAGAGGUGAGUGGAACUGCGAGUGUAGAGGUGAAAUUCGUAGAUAUUCGCAAGAACACCAGGUGGCGAAGGCGGCUCACUGGCCCGAUACUGACGCUGAGGAGCGAAAGCGUGGGAGC
rnacentral:rRNA from 1 species